CGAAAACCCUGCAUAUCAAACUGACGAGCAAAAUCCAUAUGAAGUCUUGGAAAACGAGGAUGCCGAAGGAUAUAUUUCGAUAAAAAAUAUUAAAGCAACCCCUAAAGCGUUAGGAAGAGACCUGGAAGAAAAUCAUCGAAAAUCAUCAAAGACCUUUGCAAAAACAG